GGAGAGGUGCCAGAGUGGUCGAAUGGGGCGGUCUCGAAAACCGCUGAGCGUGCGAACGUUCCCAGGGUUCGAAUCCCUGUCUCUCCGCCA
rnacentral:tRNA from 1 species